rnacentral:snRNA from 1 species
GGAUGUGGGGGCGAUCUGGCUGCCCAUUGAUCGCCAGGGUUGAUUCGGCUGAUCUGGCUGGCUAGGCGGGUGUCCCCUUCCUCCCUCACCGCUCUAUGUGCGUCCCUCCCGAAGCUGCGCAUUAGGUCGAAGAGGACGGGCCUCUUCACUCAAGGGUAUAUGAGUAGCUGUGUUCCCCUGCUAGAACCUCCAAACAAGCUCUCAAGUUCCGCUGUAGAACGCAGGGUGGUCAAGCUUCCAAGACUCCAGACACAUCCACAUGAGGCGCUGCACAUGGCAGUCUGCCUUUCUU